CUGAGGCUGUGUCUAGUCAGGUUAGUGAUGAUGGUGUAGAUGAGGCUGGGUCUAGUAGACUGUAGAUAGUGGGGUAGAUGAGGCUGGGUCUAGUCAGGUUAUGGAUGGUGGUGUAGAUGUGGCUGGGUCUAGUCAGGUUAUAGCUGGUGGUGUAGAUGAGGCUGGGUCUAGUCAGGUUAUUCUAGUGGAUGAGGCUGGGUCUAGUCAUGAAAUGGAGGGUGGUGUAGAUGAGGCUGGGUCUAGUGAGGUUAUAGAUGGUGUUGUAGGUGAGGCUGGGUCUAGUCAUCCUAUGGAGGGUGGUGUAGAUGAGGCUGGGUCUAGUCAGGUUAUAGAUGGUGGUGUAGAUGAGGCUGGGUCUAGUCAGGUUAUAGAUGGUGGUGUAGAUGGGGCUGGGUCUAGUCAGGUUAUAGAUGGUGGUGUAGAUGAGGCUGAGUCUAGUCAGGUUAUAGAUGGUGGUGUAGAUGAGGCUGGGCCUAGUCAGGUUAUUCUAGUGGAUGAGGAGAGUAUAGUGAGGAAGUGUAAGAGACUAGGGGGGGGUUGUCAAGUGGAAAAUGAAAAAAAGGGGAGAAGAAAGGAGGUGGGACGGGCGAGGCUGGUGUGGUCAAAGGAACCUGAGAGGCUGGUGUGGUCAAAGGAACCUGAGAGGCUGGUGUGGUCAAAGGAACCUGAGAGGCUGGUGUGGUCAAAGGAACCUGAGAGGCUG
ensembl:lncRNA